CAUAAAUCCUCAUGGUAAAUUUGUCAAAAUAAAGUAAAUUAUUUUUGAUACAAUUAAUUUUAAAAUUGUGCAAAUAAGGUAAAUGUGUAAAGGAAAUGUUUAUGUGAUAUUGCUUGAGCACUUUAAUAGAAAUAAAUGAUGUUUUCCACAGUUUUUAUUCAUGAAUACUAAUGCUACAUUUAGCUUCUUUGUUUGUAUAGAAAUCCUCUCAGGAUGGGACCCCUACUGUUUCCAGGGUAACGGAAUCCCGGCUCAGGCAUGUUGUGGGUUAACCUAGUCUGGAUACUUUUAAUGAAACGGUGAAGGACGUGGUUUUAUUGCGUCGCUUCUCACUAAAGACCUAGAUUUCAUAACAAGGCAAACAGUUUAAGGAGUAUGUCGAUAAUCCCCUCUUCAAUAUGGUGAGCCAUUAAAAAACAAUCAAUGCCAAUUAGUGCUGCCACUGUUUGGUCCAAAGCGCAGAGCUGGAGCGACGUCACGCGCUUUUGGAGAGGGCGUCAAUGCGCCUUUACGCGCCAAUAAAGCCGUGUUUACGGAGCGAGAGUUUUGAGAUCGGGACUUCCAGAGCGCAUGUGGACUGACACCAUGUCCCGGACCGAACAGACCUUGAGGAACAGAGACUGAGAUUCGGAGUCAUUGUAUCUGUUUAAGACGUGAAAUGAAAGGCUUCGAGCCAAGACUGAGGAGUUGUGGAGGAUUUUUGAGGGGAUUCUUUAACAGUUUUCACAGAGGAAAUGUCCACAACUGCAAGUCCAACCAUCUCCUCAUACGUGAUAUCCGACCAACUGACUGCGGUCGCUGCGUCCCUUUCUUCUCUGGUGUUCUUUGUGGUUAUUGUGGCGCUGCUGUCUUUUAUUUACCGCAAGGAUCCUCAGUGCUGCAUACACCGCUCCUAUCAGGAGCCACAUCCUGCUGCGGAUGAUCCUCCACAGUAUUACAGCAGUAGGACAACCUUGGUGGGGACCCCCUGUUUUGAGCCGGACAGGAAUACUCAGCAGGCAGGCGAGCUGUUCUGUGUCGGCCUGCCCUCCAGCUACAGCCUGCCGACGCUAGAGGCCCCCAUGCCGAGGCUCCCUUCCUAUGAGAGCGUGCGAAAGAAGGACCGCCAGAGGCAGAUCCACAUGAUGAUCGCUGACCGCUUUGGCCUCAAUGCGCCUAUUGUAACUGAGGUAGGAUAUAAUUAGGAUUUAAGGCUGUGUCGCAGUAAAUGAUACAGUCACAAAUUCCUCAACAAUGCAGCCCUUCAAGAGCGGUUGCUAAGCUUGAGAGGAUGAUCUUGGGGUUUCGACAUUUUAUUCGUUUUAGUUUUACUUGUAGCCAAGUUUUAGAGAUUCUCUCUGCUUGGAAAUGAAUGCACAUAAUAAAACGAUAAUUUGUUGCCGUGCGAUGUCACAAGAGCUUGUUUAAGGAUUAGACUGCCUCCAGAAAACAGUAAACAGGAUGCACUAUCGGCUCAUCUCAUGUAGUGCUGGCAACCGUGCUUUUCGGUCUCACCGUGUUGAUCUUUUGCUGAGCUUUAGCUGCAGUCGACGCUUGAGCAAACAAGGUAAUGAGAAAAAGGCACAUCAAAUAUAAUUAAAGCCUGCAUCCAUGAGUGCAAACAGAGCGCCAGAAUACGGCACUGUCCUUGUGACUGCACAUUUUUCCUCCUUUAACCUUUUUCUUAAUUAGAAACUCCAUGAUAAACAUAAAUCUUUUAUUGGAUCAUCACAUAAAAAACUGUCCCUUCGUUUGUUUAAGGCAGGGUAGCAGGAAGACCUUUCAUCUUGGAGUUAGGGUAUCAGACCAAAGGGCAGGUCUGUGGGGUUUCUCCUGUCUCCUGGGGGGUCGCCAAGCAAUUAAAAGAUAAGAACUCAGUCAGGGAGUGUGAAUCUGUUUGAUUUCUAUCUGCGAGAUAAUGAAGAAAAAAAAAGUUCCUGCCAGCUGUAGUGGGAACAGAUUAAUUGGGAAUGUAAACACAAACACGCUCUGAUUCGCCACUCAGAUUUCAGUCUUUGCAGACUUCAGGAGGUUAAUAUCCUGUGUCACUUUUAGACAUGAAAAAACUGAACUUGGUGGCUGUUAUUAUGAUUAUUUUGGAGUAGCUACAGUCAGUCAUUCAAAUGUUACUCUGGCUUGUCAUGUCAGAAUGUGUAAGAAUUCUAAUCUUAUUUGUCCUAUCUCAUUUAUUUGUCUUGUUAGAUGCAGUUUAAGUUUGCCUUGAAGAAUUGCAUUUUUUAACAAAAAGAUAGAUGAGUUCUGACCUGUUAAAUCUGUCCUCAUAAUUUGUCCUAGAAAUAAGUCCAGGUUCCCAUUUUGUCACGUGACCAAAACAUACCGUCUAAUUAACUUAAUGGAAAAUCUGUUUAAUUAACUGUGCCUUGGAAUAUGCGUCAACAGGGCGGUAAUAUUUCAUUGCGGUCAUAUGCUCUGACAGCUUAAGAACAGCCAGUUAACAUCUAGACUAAAUGGCAUUCCCCCACAUAAUACAAAUAUAAAAGAGAAGAUAUGAUUAGAACUGUAAAAUAGUAAAGUUUGUGCAAAUUAAAAAGCAGUAGUUGCAGAUAUGGUAAGUUAUCCAAAGCAUGUCUCACAGUGUGGCGUGAAAGACUUAAAAUGG
ensembl:lncRNA